rnacentral:misc_RNA from 1 species
GAUGAAGAACGUAGCGAAAUGCGAUAAGUAAUGUGAAUUGCAGAAUUCAGUGAAUCAUCGAAUCUUUGAACGCACCUUGCGCCCUUUGGCUAUUCCAGAGGGCAUGCCUGUUUGAGUAUCAUGAACACCUCAACUCUCAUGGUUCUGCCAUGAUGAGCUUGGACUUUGGAGGUCUUGCUGGCCCCUGUGGUCAGCUCCUCUCAAAUGGAUCAGCUUGCCAGUGUUUGGUGGCAUCACAGGUGUGAUAACUAUCUACGCUUGUGGUUUUCCACCAGGUAACCUUCAGUGAUGGAGGUUCGCUGGAGCUCAUAAACGUCUCUCCUCAGCGAGGACAGCUUCUUGAACGUUUGAUCUCAAAUCAGGUAGGGCUACCCGCUGAACUUAAGCAUACCAAUAAGCGGAGGA